ensembl:misc_RNA 7SK 7SK RNA
GGAUGCGAAGGCUAUCUGGCUGUGACAUCUGUCACCCUGUUGAUCGCCAGGGUUGAUGGGGCUGAUCUGGCUGGCUAGGCAGGUGUCCCCUUCCUCCCUCACCACUCCAUGUGCUUUCCUCCUCGAGGCGACACUGAGUCUAAGAGGAUGACCUUCCCAGAUGGGGGAGGGCUGCUCCUGGGUCAAGGGUCUAUGAAUAGCUGCACCGCCCUCCUAGAACCUCCAAACAAGCUCUCAAGGUCCAUUUGUGGAACGUCGGGCAGUCAGGCUUCCAAGACUCCAGACACAUCCCAGUGAGUCUCUGUGCAUGGGGCAGUCUGCCUUUCCAA